rnacentral:rRNA from 1 species
UGUGUUAGUGGAAGCGUCUGGAAAGGCGUGCGAUACAGGGUGACAGCCCCGUACACAAAAGCGCAUGUGCUGUGAGCUCGAUGAGUAGGGCGGGACACGUGGUAUCCUGUCUGAAUAUGGGGGGACCAUCCUCCAAGGCUAAAUACUCCUGACUGACCGAUAGUGAACCAGUACCGUGAGGGAAAGGCGAAAAGAACCCCGGCGAGGGGAGUGAAAAAGAACCUGAAACCGUGUACGUACAAGCAGUGGGAGCCCCACCACUAAGCCAGUGGUGAACUCCACAUACGCAUCCUUUGCUGAAGGCAAUGGUUAACGGAGCGAAAGCGACGUUCAACCGCAAAACAAGCAGAGGGGGCUUAGUGGUGGGGUGACUGCGUACCUUUUGUAUAAUGGGUCAGCGACUUAUAUUCUGUAGCAAGGUUAACCG